GGCGGAGCAGGAAGUAAGGCAGUUCCCAGAAAAGGGGAGAAGAGGGCAGGGCUGCUGAACAAUAGGGGGCCACGUUCUGGUAAAUUCGUGGUGUUCCGUAAAUGCUCGUUGCUUACUGUCACAGCUACGUAAGUGACGCUAGGAAGGGCUUUCUGGUUGCUGAUCCAGACCAGAAGGCCAAGACCCUCUGAACACCAGAUCUGAAGACAGCAAUCAUUGAAAGACAUUUUGAGACCUUUACGACAGUGUGAACUGGACUCCACCAUGCAAAUCAGAACUCUGUGAGCCCUGGAAAGGCGUGCCUGUAACUUGGGAGUUAAGUAUCCCUCCCUCUUCCUAACAACAGCAAACAAUUCUUUUGGAGCAACGACCCGCCUUUCCCUCCGGGUCCCCAAGCCGACAGUGUAUGUGAC
rnacentral:lncRNA from 1 species